rnacentral:tRNA from 1 species
AAAGGGAGACCUAAUUCAGGUAGGAGACGAAAAAAAGGUAGUCCCUACCAGGAAUCAAUCCCAAAAGGUCGGAGCGAGGCGAAAUUGGCUUUCAAACUAGGUUCUGGGUUCAAACAAGACCUGAAUCAGGAACAAGGGCUAUUAGCUCAGGUGGUUAGAGCGCACCCCUGAUAAGGGUGAGGUCCCUGGUUCGAGUCCAGGAUGGCCCACCUGCACAGGUGGCAAAAACAAGAGAAGCGAGGAAUCAGCACCUUAUCUUACUGACAUAGUAAGAGAGAAUGCUGGCUCUGAGUAAAGAGUCCAGAGGAACCUUGAAAACUACAUAGAGCUAGGUGAAAAAGCCAAAAAAGAAGACCGCAAG